rnacentral:rRNA from 1 species
UACGGAGGGGGCUAGCGUUGUUCGGAAUUACUGGGCGUAAAGGGCGCGUAGGCGGCGCGAUAAGUUGGGCGUGAAAGGCCCGGGCUCAACCCGGGGACUGCGCUUGAUACUGUCGCGCUGUGAGUCCGGGAGAGGAUGGCGGAAUUCCCAGUGUAGAGGUGAAAUUCGUAGAUAUUGGGAAGAACACCGGUGGCGAAGGCGGCGACCUGGGUAGAUACUGACGCUGAGGCGCGAAAGCGUGGGGAGCAAACAGG